rnacentral:rRNA from 1 species
UACGACUGAAUUGAAGAUUUCGGUCGGAGAUGAAGAUGUAAAGUUCUAGCGGCGGACGGGUGAGUAACGCGUGAGCAACCUGUCCCUUACAGGGGGAUAACACAGCGAAAGUUGUACUAAUACCGCAUGAGACCACGGAGUGACAUCAUUCAGGGGUCAAAGGAGCAAUCCGGUAAGGGGUGGGCUCGCGUCCGAUUAGAUAGUUGGUGAGGUAACGGCCCACCAAGUCGACGAUCGGUAGCCGACCUGAGAGGGUGAUCGGCCACAUUGGGACUGAGACACGGCCCAAACUCCUACGGGAGGCAGCAGUGGGGAAUAUUGGGCAAUGGGGGGAACCCUGACCCAGCAACGCCGCGUGAGGGAAGAAGGUUUUCGGAUCGUAAACCUCUGUCCUUGGUGAAGAGAAAGAGACGGUAGCCAAGGAGGAAGCCCCGGCUAACUACGUGCCAGCAGCCGCGGUAAUACGUAGGGGGCGAGCGUUGUCCGGAAUGAUUGGGCGUAAAGGGCGCGUAGGCGGCCCGGUAAGUCUGAAGUGAAAGUCCUGGUUUUAAGCUGGGAAUUGCUUUGGAUACUGUCGGGCUUGAGUGCAGGAGAGGUAAGUGGAAUUCCCAGUGUAGCGGUGAAAUGCGUAGAGAUUGGGAGGAACACCAGUGGCGAAGGCGACUUACUGGACUGUAACUGACGCUGA